rnacentral:lncRNA from 1 species
GCUAAAACCAAAGCCAGCUUCCAAAAAUGCAAAGUCCUGCAACUGUGCUUUAUCAGGAGCUCUCACUUCUGGCUGCUGCUCACCUUUAACAAGCUUCUAAGUUGGGAAGAACAGACAGUCCUUACCUGGACCAGUCAGUCACAUGUUGGAGGUCACACUGUAAAGAAAAGUGUACAGAAUCUGUUUCACCACUCCCCUUGCCUCAUAGCUAUCUGGGUGAGACCAAUACCAGCAGGCAUGGUAGGAAACCACGGAAGAAAAGCAAAGCCCUGUCCAUCUACACCACCUGUCCUGAGAAAUGUGACUACACUCGCAUCUGCCCGGCCCAUUCAGAGAAGCACAACCACACUAUCUCUGCCUCCAAAUUCCUCAAGGCAGCAAACUCCUCUCCUCCCCUUGAAAUCCUUUGUUCUACCCUCACUCGAUGAACUCAGCCUGCCUCCAUGGGAGUAAUUAAACAGCCAU